AAUAAACAUAGUCAGAAAGGUUCUAUUUUGUUCCUGCUGCUUAGUGUGAGUGGGCUCCCAUGAGCUUCAGAAGGAAUGAAAGGAGAAAACAAUUAAUUCUUCUCUGGAAAAGAUGAUCUGUGGUCCAGAUAAUCCUGGAUCUUGGCUGACCCACCUGAUGAUGCUGAACAGUAACAGGUAGAUUCUUUGCUUUGUGCCGAAAAUUAAAGGUGGCAUGAGCUCACAGGAGAAAACCAGAAGAGAAAUUCCAGGGAAAAGCUAAAGGUGUUUUUCCAGAUUGCUUGUACCUGAGUUUGAGCUCUACAAAAUGGAAUCAGCAUAGAUUAUCACUAGUCAUCAUUUCCAAAUUCCAGGCAGGAGAAAGGGUAAGGGAGAAAGAAGAGCAUCAGAAGACUCGUACAUCUCAUCGGAUGGAAAGUUAACACCCCUGAGUACUAAGGAAUCUGGGUAAGCAGCUAGCAGAGGACGGAGGAGAGAAACGAAUAGAGAAUAGCUGCCGGCUGAGCCAAGCUAC
rnacentral:lncRNA from 1 species